rnacentral:tRNA from 1 species
GCCUGGGUGGCUCAGUCAGUUGAGCGUCUGACUUCGGCUCAGGUCACGAUCUCACAGUCUGUGAGUUCGAGCCCCGCGUCGGGCC